rnacentral:rRNA from 1 species
AACGAACGCUGGCGGCAUGCCUAACACAUGCAAGUCGAACGAAACCUUCGGGUCUCGUUGCGCAAGUGUGCGUAACGCGGGGGAACCUGCCCUUGGGUUCGGAGUAUCUUCCCGAAAGGGGUUGUAAUAACGGAUAAUGUCCUCGGACUAAUGAUUUAUCGCCUUUGGGUGGGCUGGCGUUGGAUUAGCUCGUUGGUAGGGUAAAAGGCUACCAAGGCGACGAGCCAUAGCUGAUCUGUGAGGAUGAGCAGCCACACUGGGACCGAGACGCGGCCCAGAUUGGUACGGGAGGAAGCAGGGGGGAAGAUUGGAGCAUGGACGACGGCCUGAUGAAGCCAUGCCGCGUGAGUGAUGAAGGCCUUAGGGUUGUAAAGCUCUUCUAGCCGGGAUGAUAAUGACAGUACUGGGAGAAUAAGCUCCGGCUAACUCCGUG